AUUGAAAUAGUUUAAAAAAAAUAUUAAAUUGUGAAUUUAAAGAAAUUUUUCAAUA
rnacentral:tRNA from 1 species